rnacentral:rRNA from 1 species
AGCGAACGCUGGCGGCAGGCCUAACACAUGCAAGUCGAGCGGACCCUUCGGGGUUAGCGGCGGACAGGUGAGUAACGCGUGGGAAUAUGCCCUUCUCUACGGAAUAGUCCUGGGAAACUGGGGGUAAUACCGUAUACGCCCUUUGGGGGAAAGAUUUAUCGGGGAAGGAUUAGCCCGCGUUGGAUUAGGUAGUUGGUGGGGUAAUGGCCUACCAAGCCGACGAUCCAUAGCUGGUUUGAGAGGAUGAUCAGCCACACUGGGACUGAGACACGGCCCAGACUCCUACGGGAGGCAGCAGUGGGGAAUCUUAGACAAUGGGGGCAACCCUGAUCUAGCCAUGCCGCGUGAGUGAUGAAGGCCUUAGGGUUGUAAAGCUCUUUCAGCUGGGAAGAUAAUGACGGUACUAGCAGAAGAAGCCCCGGCUAACUCCGUG